UCUCACUUUGCUUUUUCUUUGGUGCAGAUGCAGUGUGAUAUAUCCUUGUCUCAAAAGAAGAAAGAGAUCAGAGGCCUCUUGCACCAAAACUCAGGGACACGACCAAUGUUAAUAUUCCUCCCAAGGACACAGAAAGCAGGCCAUCACAAGCAGAUUCUUUUCCCUCCUCAACAAGAAGAAAGAAAGGUUAUUGUUUUCCUUUACCUCUUUUUGCAUGUAGUUGCUCAAUAAAAAUAAUAUCCUGGACAGUGAUCCCCUCCUAA